UACGGAGGAUGCGAGCGUUAUCCGGAUUUAUUGGGUUUAAAGGGUGCGCAGGCGGGGACUUAAGCGUGAGGUGAAAUGCCGCGGCUCAACCGCGGGCCUGCCUCGCGAACUGGGUUCCUUGAAUGCCCCUGCCGUGGGAGGAAUGUGUGGUGUAGCGGUGAAAUGCAUAGAGAUCACACAGAACACCGAUUGCGAAGGCAUCUCACGAAGGGGUGAUUGACGCUGAGGCACGAAAGCGUGGGGAU
rnacentral:rRNA from 1 species